CUUUAACACUUUUAUCGUUUAUUGCUUAGGGUAUCACAUGCAGCAGUUGUUGUUUUUUGCCGCUACUGCUGUUUUUGUUGACAAUCCAAUCUUCGUUGGCUAAUCGCGCCAGAGCAGGAACUAAAAAUAAAUAGUUUUGAUUGUGAAUUUACAGGCUAUGCGUAAUUCAAAAUAUUGUAAAGAGUAAUUUCCAAUUACCUUGGCUGCAGCUUUGAAGAUCAUCAGUACUUUGUUUUUAGAUGGUUUGAUCUAAUAUUAAGUAUGCGAUUUGUAUUGAUGUCAAACACCUUUUGGGUGGCACCGUUGAGGGAACAUCGAAUUCCGUCUACAAAUUCUGGUAAACAUUCCGCUGAUAUCUUAUCUCACAGAGUAAACGUAAAAUAUGCAUGUUAAAGCACUCAAACUGAUUUAAUAAUCGCUAAAUCAAAAAAAUACAUAUGUAGAAACAUUAUCAGCAGUAUAAAAAGGUGUUUGAAUAUGUCAAGCCCAUGUUGAUAUUCUGCUCCCUAAAUAAUUCGCGUCUUGGGAUUGUCAAUUAAAGUGUUUCAGAUUUAAUGAGUUUUACCAUA